GGAUCAGGCUUAGGCUUGCAGUGACAACAGGCACUGCAGCAUUUCUCUGGUUUGGGAGGCUCAGGCUUGGGCUUGCACUUCUCACAGUGGCAACAUUUCGGUGGCUCAGGCUUGGGCUUGGGCUUGCACUUCUCACAGUCGCAACAUUUCGGUGGCUCCGGCUUAGGCUUCGGCUUGCACUUCUCACAGUCGCAACAUUUCGGUGCCUCAGGCUUGCACUCCUUGGGCGGGGCUGGUAUUGGCCACACCUCAGCGAUGACAAUCCCCUUCACGAUUUUCCCGGCCUUGGACCACACCUUCUUGCAGAGCUUCUCGGCGUCGAACUUCC
rnacentral:lncRNA from 1 species